UACGAAGGGGGCUAGCGUUGUUCGGAAUCACUGGGCGUAAAGGGCGCGUAGGCGGCCGAUCAAGUCGGGGGUGAAAGCCUGUGGCUCAACCACAGAAUUGCCUUCGAUACUGUUUGGCUUGAGACCGGAAGAGGUUAGCGGAACUGCGAGUGUAGAGGUGAAAUUCGUAGAUAUUCGCAAGAACACCAGUGGCGAAGGCGGCUGACUGGUCCGGUUCUGACGCUGAGGCGCGAAAGCGUGGGGAGCAAACAGG
rnacentral:rRNA from 1 species